GGUGUCCUUUCUCCUUCCCCUUUUAUUUUUAUUUAUUUAUUUAUUUUAUUAACCUCAACCCCAGGCAGAACGCUGCUGCCGCCACCCCCCCCUCACCUCACACACACAUACACACACACACACACAUACACACACACACCUCGCUCCUCCUCACAGAGUCCAGGAACCGGCCCCUUACGCCGCUUCCGUAGCGUAGCGGCCCAUCCGAAGGCGAGGAGCGGACGCGGAGGUAAAAACGCCGGCGCCGUCGUGAAUACCGGGGGAAACAGAGUUUUGAGUGCCUAGAACUUUGGCUGGUCUCCAUCUAUAAUGAAAAAGCAAGGACGGUCAAUUAUAAAAGAGAGAGAAAGAGAGUUUGGGAAAACAGAAAAUGACCUUCCGGAAGCGACCUGAGGUUUGAGGCCCAUUGUGAGUCCGGGUAGAAAAUGGCCCCCAAUUCCUCUGAGUUUGGUCUCUGCUUGGAUGGAUUCUACCACUUCAUAAAAACAAAAUCUACCCACUGUCUCUCAUGAAUGAUAUGAUCAGCAGAACGAUGGCUGCCUUAUUCUGGUCUGCAGUGAAAAACAAGCCUAAAACUGAAACUUCCAACAAGAACCAGGAAUAGAAUCCACUCCAUCACAUUACAUGACCUGUAACAGGCAGGAACAAAGACUCGCACCCCCAGCGAAGUCCCAUUCCUGGUGGACUGCCGCUCACGGGCCCACAACAGCCUUGGCG